AUUGAACGCUGGCGGCAUGCCUUACACAUGCAAGUCGAACGGCAGCACGGGAGCAAUCCUGGUGGCGAGUGGCGAACGGGUGAGUAAUAUAUCGGAACGUGCCCAGUCGUGGGGAUAACGUAGCGAAAGCUACGCUAAUACCGCAUACGAUCUAUGGAUGAAAGCGGGGGAUCGCAAGACCUCGCGCGAUUGGAGCGGCCGAUAUCAGAUUAGGUAGUUGGUGGAGGUAAGGCUCACCAAGCCGACGAUCUGUAGCUGGUCUGAGAGGACGACAGCCACAC
rnacentral:rRNA from 1 species